rnacentral:rRNA from 1 species
UACGUAGGGUGCAAGCGUUGUCCGGAAUUAUUGGGCGUAAAGAGCUCGUAGGCGGUUUGUCGCGUCUGCUGUGAAAACUCGGGGCUUAACCCCGGGCCUGCAGUGGGUACGGGCAGACUAGAGUUCGGUAGGGGAGACUGGAAUUCCUGGUGUAGCGGUGAAAUGCGCAGAUAUCAGGAGGAACACCGAUGGCGAAGGCAGGUCUCUGGGCCGAUACUGACGCUGAGGAGCGAAAGCGUGGGGAGCGAACAGG